rnacentral:rRNA from 1 species
UGCCUGUUGUUUAAAUGUAAUAAUAGGUAUUUUCUGCCCGGUGAGAUUUUAACGGCCGCGGUACUUUGACCGUGCAAAGGUAGCAUAAUCAUUUGCUUUUUAAUUGGGGGCUUGUAUGAAAGAAAAUAUGAAUGUCUAGCUGUCUCCUCUUAAAAAAAGAAUUUUCUGUUGUUGUGAAGAAGCAGCAGUACUAAAAAGGGACAAGAAGACCCUAUCGAGCUUUACCCCGGAGAUUAAGAGUAAGCAAAUUAUUGUUAAUAUAUUGUUUAAGGUUUUAGGGGUUCCGUUGGGGUGACGAAAAAAGACAAAAUCUUUUUUAGUGUUACAAGACUUAUAUUUGUCACAAAAAGAUCGAUUUUUAAUCAUUGUUGGAAAAAGUUACCGUAGGGAUAACAGCGUAAUUUUUUUAAAGAGUUCAAAUCGAAAAAAAAGAUUGCGACCUCGAUGUUGACUUGUUAUCUCCUUUUGGUGUAGCCGCUAUAAGGGUUGGUCUGUUCGACCAUUAAAAUAAC